rnacentral:rRNA from 1 species
GAUGAACGCUGGCGGCGUGCCUAAUACAUGCAAGUCGAGCGAACGGACGAGAAGCUUGCUUCUCUGAUGUUAGCGGCGGACGGGUGAGUAACACGUGGAUAACCUACCUAUAAGACUGGGAUAACUUCGGGAAACCGGAGCUAAUACCGGAUGAUAUUUUGAACCGCAUGGUUCAAAAGUGAAAGACGGUCUUGCUGUCACUUAUAGAUGGAUCCGCGCUGCAUUAGCUAGUUGGUAAGGUAACGGCUUACCAAGGCAACGAUGCAUAGCCGACCUGAGAGGGUGAUCGGCCACACUGGAACUGAGACACGGUCCAGACUCGUACGGGAGGCAGCAGUAGGGAAUCUUCCGCAAUGGGCGAAAGCCUGACGGAGCAACGCCGCGUGAGUGAUGAAGGUCUUCGGAUCGUAAAACUCUGUUAUUAGGGAAGAACAUAUGUGUAAGUAACUGUGCACAUCUUGACGGUACCUAAUCAGAAAGCCACGGCUAACUACGUG